UUUCCGUAGGUGAACCUACGGAAGGAUCAUUACAGAGUUCAUGCCCUCACGGGUAGAUCUCCCACCCUUGAAUAUUUAUACCUUAGUUGCUUUGGCAGGCCGUGGAAACACCAUGGGCUCCGGCUUAUGCGUGCCUGCCAGAGGAAACAAACUCUGUUUUUAGUGAUGUCUGAGUACUAUAUAAUAGUUAAAACUUUCAACAACGGAUCUCUUGGUUCUG
rnacentral:misc_RNA from 1 species